rnacentral:lncRNA from 1 species
AACAAUAUGAAAGUUGGAAAUGAGCUGUUUUUAUGUUUGUGAUUGUGAUGGUGAUCACCAGCCAAAAUUGAAUACAUGGCACUGUGAAAUGCAAUAAUGGGCUAGGGCCUAGAAAAAAGAGCCCAAUAUAGUAUUGCGAAAUGCAAUAAUGGCUCUUCGUUAGAUGGGCUAGGAACUAGAAAAAAUGGGCCAAUAUGGCGUGCAAAAAACAUUUUUAGGCCCAAAAAAUAGUGUAAAAACCUAAAAUGGGCUAAAAAUGGACCAAAAAAAUUGGUCUCAUAAAGGCUCUUACAUGGACCGAGCUUCAAUUUAUGACGAACCGAAAUAGUCAUAACACCCCUGCCACGUCGAAGCCAUGUUGGAUUCUUGUCCAACGUGGCGCAACCUCCGAAAC